rnacentral:lncRNA from 1 species
AUAACCAUCCUUGACCAAAAUGCCUAUAAAAAUAACAUUCAUAAAGAAAGAUGGAUAAUAAUGACAAUCAUCUAAAACAAUGACAUUUGAAUUAAGAACAAGCUAAAUUUUUUCUAUAGUUAGAACUGAAACAGCUCUUCCAUCUCCAACAUUCAGAAAUUGUUCACUCUUCUCAAAUUUUCUACUAACCUGAAGUCUCUGCAAUAAAUUACAAAUAUGAAUCAGACUUUCAGUAUUGAAUACCUAGAUAGUAGUAUCAUAGAUAAAAAAAUAAUAAGGUGUUAUCAUAUAAAUAUCUUGUCCCACAAUCUUUUACUAAUUUCUCUUCCCAGGCC